AUGGUCAACUUUUGUAGAUACUCCACUUGUAUGUGAAAAGGAUGUCGAUUUCCCCGCAGUUGAGUGCGAGGAGGAGUGUGUAUUUCCCCGGUGCUGAAUGCCUGUUGAGCUGAGUGGUUGCAUUUGGAAUUCAGACUUCCUGAACCUCACGUCUGAAGUGAAUCAAUGUCUUGAUGUCUCUGAAACGGUCAUCCCACCUCCAGACUGACUUGCUGCUGUUUCCCAGCAUGCUGUUCUUUGUUUACAGUAUUGUUAUUAUUUUAUGUAGACUUUUAAAAAUGUAUCCACUUCUCUGAAAACUAUUUUCCUUGCUAUUUCUUCAACAUCAGACCUUCCUUCUGGGGUUAUUUCCGUUUCUGGGAGAGCAUAUUUUGGAGUCCUUUUGGUUAAAGUCUUUUAGUAGUAAAACCAUUGUUUGUUUCUAAAGUUCUCUUCGAUUCACCAUUGUUUGUAAAUGUUAGUUUACUAGGCUGACAAUCCUGAGUCAGCUGUAAGGGUUUCGUCACACUGUCUCUGUCUUCCAUUCACUGCAAACAAGUCUCCAGUAAAUCUAAUUUUCACUUGUAGGUGGUCUGUUUCUUCUCUUUUGCUGCUUUUAGGGUCUUAUUUUUCAUUGGAUCUCCUGCAAUUUUACUAUAAUCUGGCUUGGUGUGGACUUCUUUUUAUUGAACCAGCUUGGGUUUAUUGUGUUUUCUGUAAGUGGGGAUGUGUAGUUUCAUGAGUUCUGGAAAGUUCUGAGCCAUUAUUUCUUCAAAUACGUCUCCUCUCCCAUUCUCUCUAUUCUGGAAUUCUGGUUAGAUGUACGUUGUACUUGCCCACCUCCUGCUUUGUGUUUCUUCACCUGUCCUGUAUUUUCCAUCUUCUUAUAUGUCUCUGUGUUAAAUAUUGGCUUAUGUGGUCAGAUCUGAUUUUUAGUUCUUUCUUCAACUGUAUUUAAUAAACUUGUAGUCCAUCUA